rnacentral:lncRNA from 1 species
CAUUAUGUGGCCUUUUUAUUGGGUUUAACGAUGGAGUACAAUGUGUUCAUUUGAUGUUUUUAGCUGAGAUUGUGAUCAAUUUCAUUUUGUGGAUUUUCAGGUUUUGCAAGAUGAUAGUAGUGUAUGAGAGCGUCAAGAGGAGGCUGUGGGUAGAAGGCGGUUCUUUGCAGGCUAGACAAGGUUGAAAAUGGUUUUUAUUUUAUUUAUUUUUCCUGUUUUUGUUAGACCCUUUCUGUUCACUUAUUCUCCCCGAAUAUUAUGCCUAAAGUAGUUAAAUAAAUUAUCACAACUAUUCAAAAGUAUAUAUAUGUUUGGUAUCAUCUCAUGUUCCGUACAAAUUGAGCAAUGAAAAGAUGAAAGAUCAGUUACAGAGAAACAGGUGGUGCAAAUGUUACAUUUGUAUUUUUUUGGUUUCAUUCUUUUGUUGUACUAAUGCCUCAUUGCCUUUUUUUUUUCCUUCUAUGAUGUGUCUCUGGAACCAGCAAAAAUUCCCUCUUUGGACUUGCUCCACUUGAAGCAGUGCUAUUUAAUAUUGAUAGAACUCCAUAUGAUUUAGAUCCCAUUCAUUUCAAUGCCUUCCACAAAAUGCUUCCAUAGGUAAAGUGAUUGUUUUGUUUCCUACUAUUCUGUCAGAAGGAAAAUAUGCAGGAUUUAUUUGGUCAUAAUUUGACAUUUUUCUUGGGUUUUAUGGACUACAAUGUGUUCAUUAGAAAGCAUUAGUUCAUUUGGUGUUUUUAGAUGAGGUUGUGGUGAUUUUCAUUUAUUUUCCUUUUGUGGCUUUUCAGUUUGUGCAAGAUGUUAACAGUGUACAAGAGAAUCCAGAAGAGGCUAUGAGUAGAAGGAGGUUCUUUGCAAGUCAGACAAGAUUGAAUAUAUAUAUAUAUUUUUUUUUUUCUUUUUCCUGUUUUUGUUCGAAACUUUUUGUUUACUUAUUGUCCCAGAAUAUUAUGCUCAAAGUAGUUAAAUUUUUGUCCAAAAUGUUUUAUUUGUGUUUCUUGAUUUGAAUGAAAGUUUGGUAUUUCAUCCUUUUUUAAGGAAUUUUCUGUUAAAUUUGGUCAUAGCCAACUGCUAUUAUACCAUUUUUAAUAAUUUGUUACAAACUUGAUUAUAACCUACGUAUUUGCUUGAACAUUAAUUUCUCACAGUUAACACAAGUCUUAUUGAUCAACUCUUAUCAUUAAUUCUGCAAUCUACCAUAUAGGCUAAUCACAUCAUUUUAUAUUUCUUGAGUUGUAGGUAUUGUGCUACAAAUUUCAAGUGGAACCAAGUGUUAUUCUAUUGAGUUGUAGGUAUUCUGCUACAAAUUUCAAGUGGAACCAAGUGUUAUUCUACUAAGAUUUGUAGGUGUUGUGACAUAAAUGGCAAUACAGUUUAUUUUUGUACUAUAUCAGCUUACUUCCUCAUUGGAUUAACUUAGUCUAUAAAUGGCAAUAUAUGUACCAGUUUUGACCAUAGGUGUCUAUAGAUUUUCUAUGCUUCUGUACAACAAACUUGCGCAAGGUUUAUGGGUAUUUGGUUUGAUUUAAUUAAAGUUUGGAUCUUUUGGUUUCAUUAUGUUAUAGGUAUUUAAUAAUUUGUGCAAUGAAUGAAAUUAUACUUUUCUCCACCAGAUUCGUACAAUGCUUGGCGUAUUUAAAUUGUAGUUUAUGCAAUUGAUUUUUUUGCCUAUUUAAUAAAUUGUCACAGUUCUAAAUUUGUUAUCAAUUAAUUAAAU